rnacentral:rRNA from 1 species
CACAAGCAGUGGAGUAUGUGGUUUAAUUCGAAGCAACGCGAAGAACCUUACCAGGGCUUGACAUCCCUUGAAGCAGCUAGAGAUAGCUGUGUCCUUCGGGACAAGGAGACAGGUGGUGCAUGGUUGUCGUCAGCUCGUGUCGUGAGAUGUUGGGUUAAGUCCCGCAACGAGCGCAACCCUCGACCUUAGUUGCCAGCAUUCAGUUGGGCACUCUAAGGUGACUGCCGGCUAAAAGUCGGAGGAAGGUGGGGAUGACGUCAAAUCAUCAUGCCCCUUAUGACCUGGGCUACACACGUGCUACAAUGGGCGGUACAAAGGGUCGCGAACCCGCGAGGGGGAGCCAAUCCCAAAAAGCCGCUCUCAGUUCGGAUUGCAGGCUGCAACUCGCCUGCAUGAAGCCGGAAUCGCUAGUAAUCGCGGAUCAGCAUGCCGCGGUGAAUACGUUCCCGGGCCUU